UACGGGGGGGGCAAGCGUUGUUCGGAAUUACUGGGCGUAAAGGGCUCGUAGGCGGCCAACUAAGUCAGACGUGAAAUCCCUCGGCUUAACCGGGGAACUGCAUCUGAUACUGGAUGGCUUGAGAUUGGGAGAGGGAUGCGGAAUUCCAGGUGUAGCGGUGAAAUGCGUAGAUAUCUGGAGGAACACCGGUGGCGAAGGCGGCAUCCUGGACCAACACUGACGUUGAGGAGCGAAAGCCAGGGGAGCAAACGGG
rnacentral:rRNA from 1 species